rnacentral:rRNA from 1 species
UACGGAGGGUGCAAGCGUUAUCCGGAUUCACUGGGUUUAAAGGGUGCGUAGGCGGGCAGUUAAGUCAGUGGUGAAAUCCUUGAGCUCAACUCGAGAACUGCCAUUGAUACUAUCUGUCUUGAAUAUUGUGGAGGUAAGCGGAAUAUGUCAUGUAGCGGUGAAAUGCUUAGAUAUGAACAUAGAACACCUAUUGCGAAGGCAGCUUACUACGCAUAUAUUGACGCUGAGGCACGAAAGCGUGGGGAUCAAACAGGA